rnacentral:lncRNA from 1 species
CCAGCGCCCUGGCGCCCCUGCUCCUCCGCGCCCGCCGCGGCGCCCGCAGCCGCUCGGGCCAUUGUUCCGCGGCUGCCAGGGCUGGAGCGGGCUGCCCCUGGGCUUCUGCGCCUCCGUCGUUCCUCUCUGAAGACCUGGCCUCCGCCUCGGAGUGGGAGUGGGUCUGGGAGCUGAGCGCAGAGCUCAGAGCGCCCUCUGUCCCCGCCCGGGCGUCGAGGUCACCCAGCAAGCGCAGAUCGGGGUGAGGCUCUUGGGUUGGUAGGCAGGGAGGGACAGGUGGGCCGGAUGCAGAGGCCGGCAGCUCGCGGGUGAGGCGGCGCCCCGCUCUUCCUAUGGGCUCCUUGGCCCGGUCCGCGCCUCCUCGCAGGCGGACCACCUUUCCUUCCCGGUCCGUGGGGCGCCAUCGCGCGGGGACUUGAGGCACUUGCGUCCUCUGGCGGCUGCAUGGCGCCCCGCAACUCUCCACCUCCGCGUCCUGCCUGUGCUAGGCAGGGCCGCCUUUACUGGUGUGAGGGUUGCUUGAACCCUUGAGGCGCCAGGAAUCCCUAGUACACUGACGCAUGUGCUUCCCAUGAGCCCGACAAGGUCUGGCAGGGGAGAGGCAGUGGUUCCUGAUCUCUGUCACUCUCUGGGUGAACGCAGAGGACACAGUAGUAAUUCCCCUCACCCACAAGCUCCAAGCUACCCUAGAAAACAAAUUGUUUAGCCUCAGGCCAUCGUUUGAGAUCAGGGACCAGGGAAUUAAGUGGACUCUGAGAUCCAUUGCCAUGACAAAAGGGGUAAGAGUCUCAUUGCUUGAGGAAAGAAUACGCCUUAAGUUCACUUUAUGUCUUCUGCCCAUUGCAUGGCAGUUAGGGGAGCUGAAGGAAGAAAGUGAAAGAAAAAGAGACCUCUCAUAACCAAGAGUGUUUGCCGCCACUGGCUUCUCCUUUAAACCAAACUCCAAAUUAAUCUGCUCCAGGAAAUUUUCUGAGCCCAGGCUGAGAGGGUUGAAGGCUCAUGCAUCCUACUGAGACCAAGGAGCUGCACUGGGAUGUUUUUGUAUAUAACACAGAGGUCCCAACACAAAUACAUCAUUUCCACAUUUUAUUUUUGUAUAGAUAGGGUCUCGCUAUAUUGCCCAGGCUGGUCUCGAACUCCUAGCCUCAAGUGAGCCUCCCACCUCGGCCUUCCAAACUGUUGGGACUACAGGUAGUGAGCCGCCAUGUACAACCCAAACCUUUUUUUUUUAAGCAGAUGAUUUCAGCUUUCUCACCAGAACCGAGAAAGUACAACUGCAUGUAUUAGUCUCCCUUGCCUUGCCUUUGGGGAGAAGUUUGUGUGUGUGUGUGUGUGUGUGUGUGUGUGUGUGUGUGUGUGUGUGUUUGUCUUUUGUUGUUGUUGUUUUGGGACGGAGUCGCGCUCUUGCUCUGUUGCCCAGGCUGGAGUGCAAUGGCGUGAUCUCAGCUCGCUGCAACCUCCGUCUCCCGGCUCCAAGCAAUUCUCCUGCCUCAGCCUCCUGAGUAGCUAGGAUUAUAGGCGGGCACCACCACACCCGGCUAAUUUUUGUAUUUUUAGUAGAGACGGGGUUUCAUCAUAUUGGUUAGGCUGGUCUCGAACUCCUCACCUCAUGAUCCACUCGCCUCAGCCUCCCAAAGUGCUGGGAUUACAGGCGUGAGCCACCGCACCUGGCGGUUUUUUUUUUUUCUUUUUGAGAUGGAGUUUCACUUUUGUUGCACAGGCUGGAGUGCAAUGGCACAAUCUCGGUUCACUGUAUCCUCCGCCUCCCGGGUCAAGCGAUUCUCCUGCCUCAGCCACCUGAGCAGCUGGGAUUACAGGUGCCUGCCACCAUGCCUGGCUAAUUUUUUUUUUUUUUUUUUUUGUAUUUUUAGUAGAGAUGGGGUUUCACCAUGUUGGCCAGGCUGGUUUCGAACUCAUGACCUCAGGUGAUCCACUUGCCUCUGCCAAAGUGCUGGGAUUACAGGCGUGAGCCACCACGCCCAGCCUAGAAGGAGGUUUAAGGACUAAGAUAAUGUUCAUAAGGUGGGAGACAGGGAAAGAUGAGAGUGUAGGGAAGUUUAAAUUUUUCCCUUGAAUGUUUGAUAAUUUGAGUCUAUAAAACAAACUGAUUACAUAGAUUAAAGGGAAAAGAGGCCUACGCAUUUUUUUUUUUUUUUUUUUUUUUGAGACGGAGUCUCGCUCUGUCGCUCAGGCUGGAGUGCAGUGGCACGAUCUCAGCUCACUGCAACCUCCACUUCCCGGGUCACGCGAUUCUCCUGCCUCAGCCUCCUGAGUAGCUGGGACUGCAGGUGCACGUCGCCAUGCCUGGCUAAUUUUUUUUUUUUUUUUUUGGUAUUUCUAGUAGAGACAGAGUUUCGCCAUGUUAGGCAGGCUGGUCUUGAACUCCUGACCUCAGGUGAUCCGCCCGCCUCGGCCUCCCAAAGUGCUGGGAUUACAGGUGUGAGCCACUGGGUCCGGUCUCCUACAAAUUUUAUUUGAUGCACGCAUGUGUGUGGGAGUCAUACAAAAUAUAAAAACUCAAAGAAAUGCCCAAUGGUUGCUUUUAUACCACCUUGAGGUUACAGAAAGAAUGAGAGCUUGCAUCUGGGCAAAACAGGUUAUGGUGGCAAGACAGGUUAUGGGAGGGGGAGAAGAAGAGGCCUGGCCAGCAAAGACGGUCUUGGUGAACAAAUGAAAUCUCACAGACAGUAGCCUUUAGAAGGAAUAGGUGGUAAAGGUUUCUGUUAGACCUUUUAAGAUGUCAGACUCUCAGUUAAUCUUUCCUAAAUCUGGACAAGGGAGAGCACCAGAGAAAGCCUUUCUGCAUCGAUGCAGAUUCUCUGCAGAUGCAGAUCUCCCCCACAAAAGACAGCUUUGCAGGCUUUCUGAACAGUCAUCUCAAAAUACAUCAAAUUCAGAAUGAAAAUUUUUGGUGCUCUUCAAGAGCAAUAAAUACUAUGAAAACCCAACUACAGGGGUAGAGUUUUGAUAAUCAAAUAUUUGCCGGUGUCAGUCAUCCAGGAUGAACUAAGAAGUUCAUUUCUAUGAAUGAGUCAUGAAAGCAUCCACAUUUCCCCUUUUUCUAGCCCCUCACCAAACUAUUAUGAUGGCCUUUCUGCAGGCAGUCUGAGAAGGGGCAACCCAGUUGUAAAGAAUAACGUUGAGAAAUUGAUCAUCUCUGGUAGCAUCUGUCACUCCCUUGAAAAUAUCCACCAGGCUAGACAGGUUUCUCCUCCACCUGACCCCUGUAUCUGUAUCAGUCACCAUUACCUGGGAGUACUGGAGACAAUGACAUAUCAAUGGAAUUCUGGAUUAUUGGAUACCAUUAAUCUUCUGUUGGAAGGGGGAACCAGACAGAAGCCAGAAGUUACUUCUGUCUAGACUCCCUCCCAACCUCCCAUGUUUUAUAGCCUCAAAGAAGGCAGUCAGCAUUCUCAGCAUUCUUUUCUUCUUUUUCUUCUUCUCUUCCUCCUUCACCUCCUCCUCCCCUUCUUCCUCCUCCUUUCCCUUCUCCUCCUCCCCUUCCCCCUCCCUCUUCUUCCUUCUUCCUUCUUUCUUCUCCUCCUCCUCUUCAUCCCCUCCCUCCUCCUUUCCCCCUCCUCCUUUUCCUCCUCUUCUCCUCAUCCUCCCUCUCCUCCCCUCCUCUCCUUCCUCACUUCCCUUCUCCUCCUCCCCCUCCCCCUCCCUCCUCUUCUUCCUUCUUCCGUCUUUUCUUCUUCUCCUCCUCCUCCUCUCCGUCCCCUCUCUCCUUUCUCUCCUCCUCCUUUUCCUCCUCUUCUCCUCCUCAUCCUCCCUCUCCUCCCCUCCUCCUCUUCCUCCUCCUCAUCCUCCCUCUCCUCCCCUCCUCCCCUCCUCCUCUUCCUCUUCUCCCCUUCCCUUCCUCCUCCUUCUCUUCCCCCACUUCCUACCUCUCCUACUCCUCUUCCCCCAUCUCCUCUUCCUUCUCCUUCUCCCCCUCUCCUCCCCCUCCCAUCUCCUUCUCCUCCCCCCACCUCCUUCUCCUCCUCCUUCUUCUUUUAAAUAGAGGCAGGGUCUUGCUUUGUUCGUCUUAAACUCCUGGGCUCAAGCAAUCAUUCUGCCUCAGCCUCCCAAAGUGCUGGGAUUACAGGUGUGAGCCACUACUGGUGGCCCGUCCUUUUUAAAUUUUUAAUUUUAUUAAUCUUAUUUUCAUUUCUUUUUAAUAGAGAUAGGGUCUCACUAUGUUGACCAGACUGGUCUGGAACUCCUGGUCUCAAGCAGUCCUUCUGCCUCAGCCUCCCAAAGUGCUAGGAUUACAGGUGUGAGCCACCACACUAGGACAAGAUUUAUUUCUGUUAUGAACUGAAUGUUUGUGUCUCUCUUCCCCCAGUUCAUAUGUUGAAGCCCUAGACCCCAAUGUGAUGGCUAUUUGAAGGUGGAGUCUUUGGGAGAUAAUUGGGUCUAGAUUAGAUCAUGAGGGUAGGACCCUUAUGAUGGGAUUAGUGCCCUUAAAAGAAGAGAGAGAGGGAGAGGGAGAGAGGGAGAGAGGGAGGGAGGGAGAGAGAGAGAGAGAGAGAGAAAGAAAGAAAGAAAGAGAUCUUUCUUUCCAUGAGUACAUAUGGAGGAAACGACAUGUGAGCACACAGUGAGAAGACAGCUGUCUACAUAUCAGAAAGUUGGCUCUCACCAGACAACGAAUCUGCAGGCAUCUUGAUCUUGGACUUCCCAGCCCCUAGAACUGUGAUAAAUAAAUUUCUGUUGUUUAAGCCACCCAGUUGAUGGCAUCUUAUUACAGCAGCCUGAGAAGAUUAAGACAAUUUCUUAAAGGUUCUUAGAGACGAUUCCAUAGCUUUCUUUUAUCUCUUAUUUAAAGGAGGGCAGGUUUCUGUACAUCUUGUGUUUUCCAAGAUAGUUCCAAUAAUUUUAUAAUUUCAUUUUUUUUCAAUUAAGGCAAUUCAUACAUGCAUAGUUACACAUAAUUUUACUUUUAUGACUUUAAUAUUGUAUUUUUUUAAUGUGCACUUUUAUUGAACUGGUCUCAAGUCAGUGUACAGGUAACCCCUUGCUACUUUCACACCUCCAUCCAAUCCCAGGGAGACCAAAAGCCUUCAUACACCUCAAGUUUAGGGACAAAAAGUGUGGCCACAAUGGCUCAUUCAAAAUAAAACAAAAUAGGCCAGACGCAGUGGCUCAUGCCUGUAAUCCCAGCACUUUGGGAGGCCAAGGCAGGCUGAUCACUUGAGCUCAGGAAUUUGAGACCAGCAUAGGCAAUAUGGUGAAAACCCAUCUUUACCAAAAAUACAAAAAACUAGCCAAGCAGGGUGGUGCACUUCUGUGGUCUCAGCUACUCGGGAGGCUAAGGUGGGAGGAUUACUUGAGCUGGGGAGCUGGAGGUUGCAGUGAGCUGAGAUCGCCUCACUGCAUUCCAGCCUGGGUGACAGAGUGAGACCCUGUCUCAAAAAAGAGUAAAAACAAAACAAAAACAAAAUACAAAGUUAUUAAGGCUAAGAUUUAAAACAUUUUGCAUUAUGUAAUUUGCAUGAAAGCAAUGCUAUCACCUCCCCUGUGUGGACUUAGGAGAGGACUGGGCCAUUUUCCUUAGAUAGAAGUGGAGUGGCUUUUGGGAGGGCAAAGGAACUUCCUGUAACAAUACAUUUCAUGAUAUUUGCAAUGACUAUUAAAAAAAAAAGAACAGGCCUGGCGUCGUGGCUCAUGCCUGUAAUCCUAGCAUUUUGUAAGGCUGAGGCAGACACAUCACCUGAGCCCAGGAGUUUCAGACCAGCCUGGGCAACAUAGUGAGACCCCUUUUCUACAAAAGAUAGAAAAAUUAGCAAGGCACGGUGGUGUGCACUGUAGUCCCAGUUAUUUGGGAAGCUGAGGUGGGAGGAUCACCUGAGCCCUGGAGGUUGAGGUUGCAGCGAGCUGUGAUUGGGCCACUGCACUACAGCCUUGGUGACAGAGUGAGACCCUCAGAGUGAGGCCCUGUCUCAAAAUAAAUAAAUAAAAUAAAAAUUAAAAAUAACUAUGUACAAUCCAAGUUCUUGGCCACAUUGUAGAACUUUGGGGGAUGCUCAUUCCAACAGACUGUUGUCACUUUCACUGUUCCAGUUUGUAAAUCCUGAAUCAUCAAGCCAAAAAAAAAAAAACCAAAAAAAAAAGAAACCCCAAACCAAAACAGAACCCGAAACCAAUCAAACAAACAAACACUCCCCAAAAAACAAAUAAAGCCAUGCCAAUCUCAUCUUGUUUUCUAUGCAAGUUAGGUUUUUGUUAAGAAAGGGUAUAACACAACUAAGUAACAGUCUGCUUAGAAGCAUUUGCAGUAGAAGAUGGGGGCGAGAGAAGUGGGACUCGUAUUCCUGCCUGCUGAUCCACAUCUGCUGGAAGGUGGACAGCGAGGCCAGGAUGGAGCCAAUGAUACACAUGGAGUAUUUGCACUCAGCAGGAGCAAUAAUCUUGAUCUUCAUCAUGCUGGGAGCCAGGGCAGUGAUCUCCUUUUGCAUCCUGUUGGGCGAUGCCAGGGUACAUGGUGGUGCCGCUGGACAGCACUGCAUUGGCGUACAGGCCUUUAUGGAUGUCCACGUCACACUUCAUGAUGGAGUUGAAGGUAGUUUCAUGGAUGUCACGGGUUCCAUGCCCAGGAAGGAAGGCUGGAGGAGAGGCCAGGGCAGUGGAACUACUUGUUGCAGAUGUCGAUGACCUGGCUCUGGAGCAGCUUGUAGCUCUUCUCCAGGGAGAAGCUGGAGGACAUGGUGGCCAUCUCCUACUUGAAGUCCAGGGCAAUGUAGCGCAGCUUCUUCUUGAUGUCACGCAUGAUUUCCUGCUGGGCCGUGGUGGUGAAGCUGUAGCCACGCUCGGUGAGGAUCUUCGUGAAGUAGUCAGUCAGGUCCCAGCCAGCCAGGUCCAGACAUAGGAUGGCACUGGGGAGGGUGUACCCCUUGUAGUUUGGUAGUGUGGGUGACCCCAUCACUGGAGUCCAUCGCAAUGCCAGUGGUACAACCAGAGGCAUACAGCAACAGCACAGCAUGGAUGGCACAUAUAUGGCAGGGGUGUUGAAGGUCUCAAACAUGAUCUGGGUCAUCUUCUCGCAGUUGGCCUUGGGGUUCAGAAGAGCCUCAGUCAGCAGCAUGGGAUGUUCCUCAGGAGCCAUGUGCAGCUUGUUGUAGAAGGUGUGGUUCCAGAUCUCCAUGUCGUCCUAGUUGGUGAUGAUGCUGUGCUGGAUGUGGUAUUUCAGGAUCAGGAUGCCUUUCUUGCUCUGGGCCUUGUCACCCACAUAAGAGUCCUUCUGAGCCAUGCCUGCUGUCAUGUACUGGUUCCGUGGGCACCCCGUGAUGGAAGGCAAGAUACCCUGGGGGGCAUUGUCACUGCAAGUGUGAAGAUAUCAUCAUUCAUGGGGAGCUGGCACCAAGUUUGGACUGGUGGAGGAGUGUCGAGCGUGAGGGUCUGUGCUUGGGGCAGAUACAGUCUUGGUCUAAUAUUUUAACAUAAAUUAACCAUAUCAGAAAGAGUUAUUAAACUUAGGACUCAAACCUAUGGAGUAAUAAUUUAAUACUAUAAUUAAAU